rnacentral:rRNA from 1 species
GGGGUGCUCGAGUGGCGAACGGGUGAGUAACACGUGAGUAACCUGCCCUUGACUUUGGGAUAACUUCAGGAAACUGGGGCUAAUACCGGAUAGGAGCCCCUGCUGCAUGGUGGGGGUUGGAAAGUUUCGGCGGUUGGGGAUGGACUCGCGGCUUAUCAGCUUGUUUGUGGGGUAGUGGCUUACCAAGGCUUCGACGGGUAGCCGGCCUGAGAGGGUGACCGGCCACAUUGGGACUGAGAUACGGCCCAG